rnacentral:rRNA from 1 species
GACGAACGCUGGCGGCGUGCUUAACACAUGCAAGUCGAACGGAAAGGCCCUGCUUUUGUGGGGUGCUCGAGUGGCGAACGGGUGAGUAACACGUGAGUAACCUGCCCUUGACUUUUGGAUAACUUCAGGAAACUGGGGCUAAUACCGGAUAGGAGCUCCUGCUGCAUGGUGGGGGUUGGAAAGUUUCGGCGGUUGGGGAUGGACUCGCGGCUUAUCAGCUUGUUGGUGGGGUAGUGGCUUACCAAGGCUUUGACGGGUAGCCGGCCUGAGAGGGUGACCGGCCACAUUGGGACUGAGAUACGGCCCAGACUCCUACGGGAGGCAGCAGUGGGGAAUAUUGCACAAUGGGCGGAAGCCUGUUGCAGCAACGCCGCGUGCGGGAUGACGGCCUUCGGGUUGUAAACCGCUUUCGCCUGUGACGAGGCGUGAGUGACGGUAAUGGGUAAAGAAGCACCGGCUAACUACGUG